GAAAACUUCAGAAUGCCUGAACAUAUGGCAAAUAGAUUACACAGUAUUGGUUCAUCAUACAGUUCGCAGUAAUGACAGUGGUGUGUGUGUGUGUGUGUGUGUGUGUGUGUGCGCGCGCACUCGUGUGUGUGGUUCUUUUAAGAAGUAAACUUAACUGAGUCAUUUUUUCACACAGUAGUUUCCACAGGAGGUAAGGAACCUCUUCUGCUCUAUCUGUACAGGAAAAAAAAAAAACCAACCCAAGAAACAAAUAGUGGAAAUGAAAUGAAGAUCACUGUCAUUCUGUGAUAUCUUUGAUUCACUUGAAGAGUUUAGAAGCCUGAGAAUGCCUUCUUGUCUGGUUAAGGUUUUAGGAGUCCUGAGUUUGAUUGUUCCUCAUCCACAGAAGCACUUAGCAGCUAUUCAGUCUCUGAAGUGGUCAGAAUGGCCGUAUCUUCUAAAGACUCAUACACUAAAGUGUUCAUUCUCCAAGUUGGUGGUAUUAGGAGAUGAGACCUUUGGAUGGGGAUUAGGUCAUGAGAAUGAAGCCAUCACAGGUGGAAUUGGUACCCUUAUAAAGAAGCACCAAGAGAUUAGUUGAGUUUCCUGAACUUAAUACAACACCAGCUACUGGUUUGCCGUGGAUAGCCUUUAGUCUCCUCAGGGAUUUUGUAAUGAUUGGGUACUGGAUUUGGUCAAAGGCUUUUCUGCAUCGGCUGAGAUGAUUGUGUCAUUUCUGUCCUUAGGUCUAUUUAUGUAGUAGAUUGCAUUUAUUCGUAUUUAAGCAUCCUACCCUGGACCCUCCUUAUUACUGAGUUUAGGCCUGUGUGUUGCAGCAUGAUUAUCCUGCACAUUAUGACCAGUCUCCACUUAUAAAUGGGUACAUAACAUGUGAAUCUUUCUCAGUCUGGAUUACCUCAUUCAGGAUGACAUCUUCCCAAUUCCAUCCAUCUGCCUGACAGUUUCAUGUCAUUGUUUUUUAGUAGCUGUGUAGUAUUCCAUUGUAUAAAUGUACCAUGUUUUUUAUCCAUUCUGUAAUUGAGGAGCACAUGAGUUCUUAAGAUUUUAAAUACCAACAAACCAAAUAACCGAAUUAAUAAUGGAGUACAGAGCUAAAUAUAGAAUUCUCAAUAGAGGGGUCUCUAAUGGCAGACAAGCACUUAAAGAAUUGUUAAACGUCCUUAGUCAUUAGAGAAAUCUAAAACAACUCUGAGAUUUCAUCUUACACAUGUCAGAAUGGCUAAAAAAAAAAAAAUCAAGUGACAGCUCUUGACAGGAGGAUGUGGAGCAAGGGCAACACUCUUCCAUUUCUGGUGGGAGCACAAACUUAUAUAACCACUUUGGGAAUCAAUCUGGUGGUUUCUCAGAAAAUUAGGAGUUGUUGUACCUCAGGAAGCAGCUAUACCACUCCUGUGCAUAUACCCAAAAGACGCUCCACUGUACUACCAGCACAUUUGCUCCAAUGUGUUCCAUUGUCUGAGGGCAUAGUGAGAAGAAGCCCUCCCCAGACUCCAAAUUUAUUGAACCUUUGAUCACUAUACUCCAGAACUGUGAAAAUAAACUCUUGCUACUCAUGAGCUCCCAAGUUUAUGGAAUUUUUCUACAGCAAUCCAAAUAGAUUCAGGCAUCCCUCCCAAUAGUCAGAAAGGUCUAAAUAGUUUAAUUAAGUAGUUGACAUGUAAAGAUACAUGACUUAUCUCAGGGAACCACCCCACCUAAACAUCUCUCUCUCUAGUGAAGUUAGAAUUUUUUGUGUCUAUGCCUGACCAAGGUCAAUUUAACUUAGUGCUUCUCAAAUGGGGACAGUUUUGACCAUAUGAACAUUAGGCGGUGUCUAGAGAGAUUUUUGCUUAUAACAUCUGGGAAAAGACUGGCAGGUAAUUUUUGGCAUAUGAAUAGACAAAUGGGUAAAGGAAACAGAGUCCAGAAAUAUAUACACAUUAUAUAGUAAUUUAAUUUUUUAAGAUGGCAAAGUAAUCAAAUGAAGUAAUGGAAAGCUGAGUUAGUACAUGAUGCUAACGUAAGUUAAUAUACAUAUGGAAAAAUUGAAUCUUCACCUCCAAGUUCAUAUCACAAGGGAAAAUUAAUUCACACUAGAAGCUCAAUUAAAAAUUAAAAUAUGACUUGAAGAAAAUGUGGAACACACACUCAUUUAAAUUAGUGAUAGGCCAAGAUGUUUUGAACAGGAUAUUGAAAAUAAUUAUAUAGGCUAAGAAAUUAGAUUGCUCAUUAAUAGGCAUGACUAAACUAAUGAGUAAGCAAGCAACAGAGGGAGUUGCAAGAUUUGCAAAGUACAUCUGACAAAGGAGUGAGUCAGUUUUAAGUAAAGAAUUCUACACAGAAUAAGAAAAAGACCUCUCUACCAACUUCAGUAAAAAUAAAGGGUUUCAAUAGACACUUCACAGAUGUCCAGUGAACACAGCAAGGAAUGUCAGCACCAUCAUUCUUUGGGGAAUUUCAUUGACAACUACAAUAAGAAAGUAAUGUGCACACACCAGAAAGGCCGGCAUUAAAGAUUGAUAACACAAAAUGCUCACAAGAAGACAGAACUAGUGCACACUUAACUGGAAAAAAUCUCACAUACUUAUCAAAAAGACAGCAUGUAAACAGAAUUUGUCACUCCUGUAUGCUGUAAUGUAAUCUAUGGAAAUGAACCUCUGGUUCAUGUGGCAAUGUGGAUAAAUUCCACAGGACUAAUGCUGGGUUAAAGAAUGAAGGAAAAGUCCUAACGUGCCUUGUGAGAUUCCAUUUCCAGGAAGUUCCAAAACAAAAAUAACACAAC
rnacentral:lncRNA from 1 species